rnacentral:rRNA from 1 species
ACGCACGCUGGCGGCGUGCCUAAUACAUGCCAGUCGAACGCUUCUUUCCUCCCGAGUGCUUGCACUCAAUUGGAAAGAGGAGUGGCGGACGGGUGAGUAACACGUGGGUAACCUACCCAUCAGAGGGGGAUAACACUUGGAAACAGGUGCUAAUACCGCAUAACAGUUUAUGCCGCAUGGCAUAAGAGUGAAAGGCGCUUUCGGGUGUCGCUGAUGGAUGGACCCGCGGUGCAUUAGCUAGUUGGUGAGGUAACGGCUCACCAAGGCCACGAUGCAUAGCCGACCUGAGAGGGUGAUCGGCCACACUGGGACUGAGACACGGCCCAGACUCCUACGGGAGGCAGCAGUAGGGAAUCUUCGGCAAUGGACGAAAGUCUGACCGAGCAACGCCGCGUGAGUGAAGAAGGUUUUCGGAUCGUAAAACUCUGUUGUUAGAGAAGAACAAGGACGUUAGUAACUGAACGUCCCCUGACGGUAUCUAACCAGAAAGACACGGCUAACUACGUG